UUAAAUUGAAGAGUUUGAUCAUGGCUCAGAUUGAACGCUGGCGGCAGGCCUAACACAUGCAAGUCGAACGGUAACAGGAAACAGCUUGCUGUUUCGCUGACGAGUGGCGGACGG
rnacentral:rRNA from 3 species